rnacentral:rRNA from 1 species
CCUACGGGAGGCAGCAGUGAGGAAUAUUGCACAAUGGGGGAAACCCUGAUGCAGCGACGCCGCGUGAAGGAAGACGGAUUUCUGUAUGUAAACUUCUAUCAGCAGGGGAGAAAAGUACGGUACCUGUCUAAGAAGCCCCGGCUAACUCCGAGCCAGCAGCCGCGAUAAUAGGUAGGGGGCAAGCGUUAUCCGGAUUUACUGGGUGUAAAGGGAGCGUAGGCGGUUUAGCAAGUCAGAAGUGAAAGCCCGGGGCUCAACCCCGGGACUGCGUUUGAAACUGUUGAACUAGAUUGCAGGAGAGGUAAGCGGAAUUCGUAGUGUAGCGGUGAAAUGCGUAGAUAUCACGAGGAACACCAGUGGCGAAGGCAGCUUACUGGACUGUAAAUGACGCUGAGGCUCGAAAGCGUGGGGAGCAAACAGGAUUAGAUACCCUAGUAGUC